AUUGAACGCUGGCGGCAGGCCUAACACAUGCAAGUCGAACGGUAACAGGAAACAGCUUGCUGUUUCGCUGACGAGUGGCGGACGGGUGAGUAAUGUCUGGGAAACUGCCUGAUGGAGGGGGAUAACUACUGGAAACGGUAGCUAAUACCGCAUAACGUCGCAAGACCAAAGAGGGGGACCCUCGGGGCCUCUUGCCAUCGGAUGUGCCCUGAUGGGAUUAGCUUGUUGGUGGGGUAACGGCUCACCAAGGCGACGAUCCCUAGCUGGUCUGAGAGGAUGACCAGCCACACUGGAACUGAGACACGGUCCCAGACUCCUACGGGAGGCAGCA
rnacentral:rRNA from 1 species